rfam:Myotis lucifugus cont2.10137, whole genome shotgun sequence.
GAGACAGUCUUCUGGGGCAAGACUUGCUUCAGUGGGGCUUUGGUGCUCACUGAGUCUGCCCCCUGAGUGUGUCCCU